rnacentral:lncRNA from 1 species
CCGAACCCAAAAAUACAUCGGGUUCUACCGGUUCUUUGAAGAUUUACUAACCCCAACCCGAAUUUGAUAGAACCUGAACCUGUCCCAAACCGAACUUUCAUAUAACCUGAAUGACGUUGAUUUUGAUAAACCCAAAAAAUCGAGACCCAAUUGAAAACCCCGAAUACCCGUACCUAUGUCUUCCAUUCUCCUCCUCCGCUCUCCUCUUCUUCCCCUUCCCUCUAUG